rnacentral:pre_miRNA from 1 species
CAAGUACUCCUCCCGUCUGAAAAUACUUAUCGGAGAAACUGAUGUAUCUAGACGCAUUUUAUUCAAAAUAUAUCUUUAUUUAUUUAAUUUUGCGAUAAGUAUUUCCGGACGAAGGGAGUAAUAA